rnacentral:rRNA from 1 species
UACGUAGGGUGCGAGCGUUAAUCGGAAUUAUUGGGCGUAAAGAGCUCGUAGGCGGUCUGUUGCGUCGGCUGUGAAAACCCGGGGCUCAACCCCGGGCCUGCAGCCGAUACGGGCAGACUAGAGUUCGGCAGGGGAGACUGGAAUUCCUGGUGUAGCGGUGAAAUGCGCAGAUAUCAGGAGGAACACCGGUGGCGAAGGCGGGUCUCUGGGCCGAUACUGACGCUGAGGAGCGAAAGCGUGGGGAGCGAACAGG